rnacentral:rRNA from 1 species
CUUGCUUCUCUUGAGAGCGGCGGACGGGUGAGUAAUGCCUAGGAAUCUGCCUGGUAGUGGGGGAUAACGUCCGGAAACGGACGCUAAUACCGCAUACGUCCUACGGGAGAAAGCAGGGGACCUUCGGGCCUUGCGCUAUCAGAUGAGCCUAGGUCGGAUUAGCUAGUUGGUGGGGUAAUGGCUCACCAAGGCGACGAUCCGUAACUGGUCUGAGAGGAUGAUCAGUCACACUGGAACUGAGACACGGUCCAGACUCCUACGGGAGGCAGCAGUGGGGAAUAUUGGACAAUGGGCGAAAGCCUGAUCCAGCCAUGCCGCGUGUGUGAAGAAGGUCUUCGGAUUGUAAAGCACUUUAAGUUGGGAGGAAGGGCAGUAAAUUAAUACUUUGCUGUUUUGACGUUACCGACAGAAUAAGCACCGGCUAACUCUGUGCCAGCAGCCGCGGUAAUACAGAGGGUGCAAGCGUUAAUCGGAAUUACUGGGCGUAAAGCGCGCGUAGGUGGUUCGUUAAGUUGGAUGUGAAAUCCCCGGGCUCAACCUGGGAACUGCAUUCAAAACUGACGAGCUAGAGUAUGGUAGAGGGGUGGUGGAAUUUCCUGUGUAGCGGUGAAUGCGUAGAUAUAGGAAGGAACACCAGUGGCGAAAGCGACCACCUGGACUGAUACUGACACUGAGGUGCGAAAGCGUGGGGAGCAAACAGGAUUAGAUACC